rnacentral:rRNA from 1 species
UGGGGAAUAUUGCACAAUGGGCGCAAGCCUGAUGCAGCCAUGCCGCGUGUAUGAAGAAGGCCUUCGGGUUGUAAAGUACUUUCAGCGGGGAGGAAGGGAGUAAAGUUAAUACCUUUGCUCAUUGACGUUACCCGCGGAAGAAGCACCGGCUAACUCCGUGCCAGCAGCCGCGGUAAUACGGAGGGUGCAAGCGUUAAUCGGAAUUACUGGGCGUAAAGCGCACGCAGGCGGUUUGUUAAGUCAGAUGUGAAAUCCCCGGGCUCAACCUGGGAACUGCAUCUGAUACUGGCAAGCUUGAGUCUCGUAGAGGGGGGUAGAAUUCCAGGUGUAGCGGUGAAAUGCGUAGAGAUCUGGAGGAAUACCGGUGGCGAAGGCGGCCCCCUGGACGAAGACUGACGCUCAGGUGCGAAAGCGUGGGGAGCAAACAGG